rnacentral:rRNA from 1 species
AGGGGGACCUUCGGGCCUCUCGCGUCAGGAUAUGCCUAGGUGGGAUUAGCUAGUUGGUGAGGUAAGGGCUCACCAAGGCGACGAUCCCUAGCUGGUCUGAGAGGAUGAUCAGCCACACUGGAACUGAGACACGGUCCAGACUCCUACGGGAGGCAGCAGUGGGGAAUAUUGCACAAUGGGCGCAAGCCUGAUGCAGCCAUGCCGCGUGUGUGAAGAAGGCCUUCGGGUUGUAAAGCACUUUCAGUCGUGAGGAAGGUAGUGUAGUUAAUAGCUGCAUUAUUUGACGUUAGCGACAGAAGAAGCACCGGCUAACUCCGUGCCAGCAGCCGCGGUAAUACGGAGGGUGCGAGCGUUAAUCGGAAUUACUGGGCGUAAAGCGCAUGCAGGUGGUUUGUUAAGUCAGAUGUGAAAGCCCGGGGCUCAACCUCGGAAUUGCAUUUGAAACUGGCAGACUAGAGUACUGUAGAGGGGGGUAGAAUUUCAGGUGUAGCGGUGAAAUGCGUAGAGAUCUGAAGGAAUACCGGUGGCGAAGGCGGCCCCCUGGACAGAUACUGACACUCAGAUGCGAAAGCGUGGGGAGCAAACAGGAUUAGAUACCCUGGUAGUCCACGCCGUAAACGAUGUCUACUUGGAGGUUGUGGCCUUGAGCCGUGGCUUUCGGAGCUAACGCGUUAAGUAGACCGCCUGGGGAGUACGGUCGCAAGAUUAAAACUCAAAUGAAUUGACGGGGGCCCGCACAAGCGGUGGAGCAUGUGGUUUAAUUCGAUGCAACGCGAAGAACCUUACCUACUCUUGACAUCCAGAGAACUUUCCAGAGAUGGAUUGGUGCCUUCGGGAACUCUGAGACAGGUGCUGCAUGGCUGUCGUCAGCUCGUGUUGUGAAAUGUUGGGUUAAGUCCCGCAACGAGCGCAACCCUUAUCCUUGUUUGCCAGCGAGUAAUGUCGGGAACUCCAGGGAGACUGCCGGUGAUAAACCGGAGGAAGGUGGGGACGACGUCAAGUCAUCAUGGCCCUUACGAGUAGGGCUACACACGUGCUACAAUGGCGCAUACAGAGGGCGGCCAACUUGCGAAAGUGAGCGAAUCCCAAAAAGUGCGUCGUAGUCCGGAUUGGAGUCUGCAACUCGACUCCAUGAAGUCGGAAUCGCUAGUAAUCGUGGAUCAGAAUGCCACGGUGAAUACGUUCCCGGGCCUUGUACACACCGCCCGUCACACCAUGGGAGUGGGCUGCUACAGAUGUAGGUAGUUUAACCUUCGGGGGGACUCUUACCACUUUGUGGUUCAUGACUG